GGAAUAUUGGUCAAUGGGCGCAAGCCUGAACCAGCCAUGCCGCGUGCAGGAAGAAUGCCCUCUGGGUUGUAAACUGCUUUUAUUUGGGAAUAAACCUUUCUACGUGUAGGAAGCUGAAGGUACCAAAUGAAUAAGCACCGGCUAACUCCGUGCCAGCAGCCGCGGUAAUACGGAGGGUGCAAGCGUUAUCCGGAAUCAUUGGGUUUAAAGGGUCCGCAGGCGGAUUUAUAAGUCAGUGGUGAAAGCCUACAGCUUAACUGUAGAACUGCCAUUGAUACUGUAAGUCUUGAAUUCGGUCGAAGUGGGCGGAAUGUGUAGUGUAGCGGUGAAAUGCAUAGAUAUUACACAGAACACCGAUAGCGAAGGCAGCUCACUAGGCCUGGAUUGACGCUCAGGGACGAAAGCGUGGGGAUCAAACAGGAUUAGAUACCCUGGUAGUCCACGCUGUAAACGAUGAUUACUCGUUUUCGGCGAUAUACAGUCGGAGACUAAGCGAAAGUGAUAAGUAAUCCACCUGGGGAGUACGAUCGCAAGGUUGAAACUCAAAGGAAUUGACGG
rnacentral:rRNA from 1 species